CACAGAUCUAACAACUUACAAGUUCAAUGGAGUAAGUGAUCGAAUUUUUGAAAAACAUGGGAGUUGGAGAACUUAAUACGAAAAUUCACCAACCCUGAUGGAUUUUGCACAGACCUAAUAGUUAUAGAAACUUCAGAAAAGGAAAACUUGCCCUCAGAAAAGGAAAAUGUGCCAGAAAAUGUGCCAUCUGCAAUUGCUGAUAAGAAAACCAGAGCCCAGUUAUAAUUCCAGGAUUUUGGAAAAGCUCUUAAGAUUCAUUGGACUCUGCAUCACUGCUGGCAUUCAAUUUGAAACAGAAGGCAAUUUUGAAGAUGAUUUGCAAUGGCUAGAAAAUGCCUCGGAUCCUAGUCGAAGAAAAAUAGGACCAAAGUAUAAAAAGAAGGACGCAGUUUUUAUAUGACGUUGCUGGUCAACAAACUAUAGAAAAUUACUUUUGAAAAUAUUCUGCUCUCAAAAA